CCUGUGAUGGCCUUUCUCUUAUAUCAGUGGACGUCUCUUGAGCAUGCAUAUCAAGAAUAAUAGGUGCUGUUGGAGUAUCUACGAACUGAGUGACCUCCUUAACUCCCUCAUCUAGAUCUAAUGAUGGAUCUGUAACAAAAAGAUCAGACCACUCAGAUGAAGAGUCAUGAUGCCAACUCGGAUCUGGUGCUGUCAUCUAGGGCAUGUAGGAAG
rnacentral:lncRNA from 1 species